rnacentral:rRNA from 1 species
UACGGAAGGCAGCAGUGGGGAAUAUUGCACAAUGGGCGAAAGCCUGAUGCAGCUAUGCCGCGUGUAUGAAGAAGGCCUUAGGGUUGUAAAGUACUUUCAUCGGGGAGGAAAAAACAAAACUAAUAAUUUUAUUUCUUGACGUUACCCGAAAAAGAAGCACCGGCUAACUCCGUGCCAGCAGCCGCGGUAAUACGGAGGGUGCUAGCGUUAAUCAGAAUUACUGGGCGUAAAGAGCGCGUAGGUGGUUUUUUUAAAGUCAGAUGUGAAAUCCCUGGGCUUAACCUGGAACUGCAUUUUGAAACUGAAAUACUAGAGUAUCGUAGAGGGAGGUAGAAUUCUAGGUGUAGCGGUGAAAUGCGUAGAUAUCUGGAGGAAUACCUGUGGCGAAAGCGGCCUCCUAAACGAAUACUGACACUGAGGGUGCGAAAGCGCGGGGAGCAAACAGGGAUUAGAUACCCGU